CAGGCCACCCUGCUGUACAUCCAGAUGUCCGACGCCACCCUGACCCUGGACUCCCUGACCGCUGAGUCCGGUGGCCAGCUCAAGAACCGCGUGCGCACCUGGAUCGCCGGCUCCAUCAUGACCGCCGCCGUCAACUGCUUCCUGAUCAUCGCCCUGGGCAUGACCGAGGCCCAGGUGGAGGCUAUCUCCGGCGAGAAGGCCACCGCUGUUUAAUGCGCCUGGUGCGUAGUGUUACGCGAGUGUGAGCAGCUGACCUGAUGAGCGUGACCCACUUUGCCGCUGCCAUUGUGCGGUGGCCUGACCUGACUGAGUGACAUCUAAAUUUGGGCUGUUUCUUAUUGCGCAUCCGCGAAUGACCUCUCGGACCAACUGACGGAAAAUAACGAGCGUGGUGGACAUCCUCCUGCGACACGAGCGUUGCGUGGCCACUUAACGUAGCGUGCGUGUCGAAGACGUUUAUACCCGGGGCUGAUGGAGGUCAUGCGGUGGCCCCAGGGCGGGAAGUACAUACGUGCUAGAUUGCUAUGUGCUAGCAAUUCAUGCUGAAUAAAUGAGGGAUUGAGGCGGUGGGCUGGCUAGUGGCCACACUACAGGAGUGUGCGCGCACGAGACGCGGCAAGCGGCAA
rnacentral:lncRNA from 1 species